CUGAUGCUGGACCUGCUGGCUCCUCAGAUGCAGCUGCGCUCCUGCACCUGUGACACUGGGGCUAAGAGGAAGCGGCCGUUUCUACGCUCAGUGCUCAGAACAGUGAGCACUCCGUGGUUUGUAGCCGAACAUGC
ensembl:snoRNA